rnacentral:rRNA from 1 species
GUUUGAUCCUGGCUCAGGAUGAACGCUGGCGGCGUGCUUAACACAUGCAAGUCGAACGGAGUGCCCAUGACAGAGGAUUCGUCCAAUGGAUUGGGUUACUUAGUGGCGGACGGGUGAGUAACGCGUGAGGAACCUGCCUCGGAGUGGGGAAUAACACAACGAAAGCUGUGCUAAUACCGCAUGAUACAGUUGGGUCGCAUGACUCUGACUGUCAAAGAUUUAUCGCUCUGAGAUGGCCUCGCGUCUGAUUAGCUGGUUGGCGGGGUAACGGCCCACCAAGGCGACGAUCAGUAGCCGGACUGAGAGGUUGACCGGUCACAUUGGGACUGAGACACGGCCCAGACUCCUACGGGAGGCAGCAGUGGGGAAUAUUGGGCAAUGGGCGCAAGCCUGACCCAGCAACGCCGCGUGAAGGAAGAAGGCUUUCGGGUUGUAAACUUCUUUUCUCAGGGACGAAGCAAGUGACGGUACCUGAGGAAUAAGCCACGGCUAACUACGUGCCAGCAGCCGCGGUAAUACGUAGGUGGCAAGCGUUAUCCGGAUUUACUGGGUGUAAAGGGCGUGUAGGCGGGAUCGCAAGUCAGAUGUGAAAACUGGAGGCUCAACCUCCAGCCUGCAUUUGAAACUGUGGU